UACGAAGGGGGCUAGCGUUGCUCGGAAUCACUGGGCGUAAAGGGUGCGUAGGUGGUUCGUUAAGUCUGUCGUGAAAGCCCCGGGCUCAGCCUGGGAAUGGCGAUGGAUACUGGCGGGCUAGAGUGCGGUAGAGGAGAGUGGAAUUCCCGGUGUAGCAGUGAAAUGCGUAGAGAUCGGGAGGAACAUCAGUUGCGAAAGCGGCUUCCUGGUCCAGCACCGACGUUCAGGCACGAAAGCGUGGGGAGCAAACAGG
rnacentral:rRNA from 1 species